rnacentral:rRNA from 1 species
CCUACGGGAGGCAGCAGUAAGGAAUAUUGGUCAAUGGACGAAAGUCUGAACCAGCCAUGCCGCGUGAAGGAUUAAGGCCCUCUGGGUUGUAAACUUCUUUUAUCUGGGACGAAAAAAGGGUAUUCUUACUCACUUGACGGUACCAGAGGAAUAAGCACCGGCUAACUCCGUGCCAGCAGCCGCGGUAAUACGGAGGGUGCAAGCGUUAUCCGGAUUUACUGGGUUUAAAGGGUGCGUAGGUGGGCUUGUAAGUCAGUGGUGAAAUCUCCGGGCUUAACCCGGAAACUGCCAUUGAUACUAUAGGUCUUGAAUUAUCUGGAGGUAAGCGGAAUAUGUCAUGUAGCGGUGAAAUGCUUAGAUAUGACAUAGAACACCAAUUGCGAAGGCAGCUUACUACGGAUACAUUGACACUGAGGCACGAAAGCGUGGGGAUCAAACAGGAUUAGAUACCCUGGUAGUCCACGACCUAACGAUAGAUACUACGACAUACAGCGAUACACUGUUGUGUCUG